GGCUGGGUAGCUCAGUGGAUUGUGAGCCAAGCCUAGAGGUGGGAGGUCCUAGGUUCGAAUCCUGCCUCAGCCA
rnacentral:tRNA from 1 species